GUGUCAAGGCGCCUAAGCGCGGUGCCUGAGCACUGGUCCAUGAACGGAGUGCUCCCCACCGCCUGCUGUGACCUCUACUGGCUGCGGCCCGCAUAGGAGUGACCCCGGGAGACCCAGAAGCCACGCAAUGUGGGCAGAAAAUGGAGCAGCCUUGCCUCAGGGAAGAAGAGUUUCUGUUGUGUGAACUGUCCGGUCAGGCAUGCUCAGCAGAAAAUAGAAUCCUCUGUGAGGCACUCAAGUGAGAAGCAGCCCGUGUGUCGCUGAGAGACUCCCAACCCGGCUUAGCCUCUCUUGCUCGAUGAACUCUACCAGCUGGCUGCGUGGGAAAGUUCUGAAGAUGGUGAUGAUGCAGGGCCACAUGGUCCCACAGGAGCGAGGCCUGUGGUGCAUGGACAACUUGUGCUGAGAAGUGGAGAGAACCCGCUGUGGCAGGAUCUGGGCCUCCCUUGAUGAGGAGGCAGUGGCCUUUGAGGAUGUGGCCGUGAAUUUCACCAUGGAGGAGUGGGCUUUGCUGAAUCCAUCCCAAAAGAAUCUCUACAGAGAUGUGAUGAGGGAAACCUUUAGCAACUUGGCUGCUAUAGGAAAAGUGUGGGAUCACCUGGAAGUUGAAGAAGAAUACAAAAUUUACUGGAGAAAUCUAAGAAAGAAAGAGGUAGUGAAAUGCUGUCAAUUUAAAGCUUGGAAUCAACAUGAAGAAAUAUUCCCUUGGACUCCAGAUGCUAAUGUGGAUGUGAAAGCAGCUGAAAGCCUUGCUCUUAGGAAGACUCUGAGUGGUCAUUUCUCACUGACUGUGCCUAUCAUUGCUCACACUGCACUGAAGCCAUAUAAAAAUUUGGGAUCUGAAGAGAAGGUGCAUAAAUGUAAUCAACAUGGAAGAAAUGCCAGUGAUUUCCAGUCCUUUCAGAAGCAUGCAAGGGCAAAGGAUAGAGAGAAACCCUGUGAACGUGAUCGAUGUGGGAAAUCCUACUCUGAUCUUACUGAAAGAACUCACCUUAGAGAGAAGGGCUUUGUAUGGAAGAAAAAUUUGAAAGCCUGCAGCACACAGAAUAAUGUUCAGAUCCAUGAAAGAAAUCACAGUGGGGAGAAACCCUAUGUAUGUAAGAAAUGUGGGAAAGCUUUCAGCACACGUGGUGCUUGUCAAAGACAUGAAAGAAUUCACACUGGGGAGAAACCCUAUGUAUGUAAUCAAUGUCAGAAAGCUUUCA